UUAAGCGACUAAGCGUACACGGUGGAUGCCCUGGCAGUCAGAGGCGAUGAAGGACGUGCUAAUCUGCGAUAAGCGUCGGUAAGGUGAUAUGAACCGUUAUAACCGGCGAUUUCCGAAUGGGGAAACCCAGUGUGAUUCGUCACACUAUCAUUAACUGAAUCCAUAGGUUAAUGAGGCGAACCGGGGGAACUGAAACAUCUAAGUACCCCGAGGAAAAGAAAUCAACCGAGAUUCCCCCAGUAGCGGCGAGCGAACGGGGAGCAGCCCAGAGCCUGAAUCAGUGUGUGUGUUAGUGGAAGCGUCUGGAAAGGCGCGCGAUACAGGGUGACAGCCCCGUACACAAAAAUGCACAUGCUGUGAGCUCGAUGAGUAGGGCGGGACACGUGGUAUCCUGUCUGAAUAUGGGGGGACCAUCCUCCAAGGCUAAAUACUCCUGACUGACCGAUAGUGAACCAGUACCGUGAGGGAAAGGCGAAAAGAACCCCGGCGAGGGGAGUGAAAAAGAACCUGAAACCGUGUACGUACAAGCAGUGGGAGCACAGAGCAAUCUGUGUGACUGCGUACCUUUUGUAUAAUGGGUCAGCGACUUAUAUUCUGUAGCAAGGUUAACCGAAUAGGGGAGCCGAAGGGAAACCGAGUCUUAACUGGGCGUUAAGUUGCAGGGUAUAGACCCGAAACCCGGUGAUCUAGCCAUGGGCAGGUUGAAGGUUGGGUAACACUAACUGGAGGACCGAACCGACUAAUGUUGAAAAAUUAGCGGAUGACUUGUGGCUGGGGGUGAAAGGCCAAUCAAACCGGGAGAUAGCUGGUUCUCCCCGAAAGCUAUUUAGGUAGCGCCUCGUGAAUUCAUCUCCGGGGGUAGAGCACUGUUUCGGCAAGGGGGUCAUCCCGACUUACCAACCCGAUGCAAACUACGAAUACCGGAGAAUGUUAUCACGGGAGACACACGGCGGGUGCUAACGUCCGUCGUGAAGAGGGAAACAACCCAGACCGCCAGCUAAGGUCCCAAAGUCAUGGUUAAGUGGGAAACGAUGUGGGAAGGCCCAGACAGCCAGGAUGUUGGCUUAGAAGCAGCCAUCAUUUAAAGAAAGCGUAAUAGCUCACUGGUCGAGUCGGCCUGCGCGGAAGAUGUAACGGGGCUAAACCAUGCACCGAAGCUGCGGCAGCGACACUAUGUGUUGUUGGGUAGGGGAGCGUUCUGUAAGCCUGUGAAGGUGUACUGUGAGGUAUGCUGGAGGUAUCAGAAGUGCGAAUGCUGACAUAAGUAACGAUAAAGCGGGUGAAAAGCCCGCUCGCCGGAAGACCAAGGGUUCCUGUCCAACGUUAAUCGGGGCAGGGUGAGUCGACCCCUAAGGCGAGGCCGAAAGGCGUAGUCGAUGGGAAACAGGUUAAUAUUCCUGUACUUGGUGUUACUGCGAAGGGGGGACGGAGAAGGCUAUGUUGGCCGGGCGACGGUUGUCCCGGUUUAAGCGUGUAGGCUGGUUUUCCAGGCAAAUCCGGAAAAUCAAGGCUGAGGCGUGAUGACGAGGCACUACGGUGCUGAAGCAACAAAUGCCCUGCUUCCAGGAAAAGCCUCUAAGCAUCAGGUAACAUCAAAUCGUACCCCAAACCGACACAGGUGGUCAGGUAGAGAAUACCAAGGCGCUUGAGAGAACUCGGGUGAAGGAACUAGGCAAAAUGGUGCCGUAACUUCGGGAGAAGGCACGCUGAUAUGUAGGUGAAGUCCCUCGCGAUGGAGCUGAAAUCAGUCGAAGAUACCAGCUGGCUGCAACUGUUUAUUAAAAACACAGCACUGUGCAAACACGAAAGUGGACGUAUACGGUGUGACGCCUGCCCGGUGCCGGAAGGUUAAUUGAUGGGGUUAGCGCAAGCGAAGCUCUUGAUCGAAGCCCCGGUAAACGGCGGCCGUAACUAUAACGGUCCUAAGGUAGCGAAAUUCCUUGUCGGGUAAGUUCCGACCUGCACGAAUGGCGUAAUGAUGGCCAGGCUGUCUCCACCCGAGACUCAGUGAAAUUGAACUCGCUGUGAAGAUGCAGUGUACCCGCGGCAAGACGGAAAGACCCCGUGAACCUUUACUAUAGCUUGACACUGAACAUUGAGCCUUGAUGUGUAGGAUAGGUGGGAGGCUUUGAAGUGUGGACGCCAGUCUGCAUGGAGCCGACCUUGAAAUACCACCCUUUAAUGUUUGAUGUUCUAACGUUGACCCGUAAUCCGGGUUGCGGACAGUGUCUGGUGGGUAGUUUGACUGGGGCGGUCUCCUCCUAAAGAGUAACGGAGGAGCACGAAGGUUGGCUAAUCCUGGUCGGACAUCAGGAGGUUAGUGCAAUGGCAUAAGCCAGCUUGACUGCGAGCGUGACGGCGCGAGCAGGUGCGAAAGCAGGUCAUAGUGAUCCGGUGGUUCUGAAUGGAAGGGCCAUCGCUCAACGGAUAAAAGGUACUCCGGGGAUAACAGGCUGAUACCGCCCAAGAGUUCAUAUCGACGGCGGUGUUUGGCACCUCGAUGUCGGCUCAUCACAUCCUGGGGCUGAAGUAGGUCCCAAGGGUAUGGCUGUUCGCCAUUUAAAGUGGUACGCGAGCUGGGUUUAGAACGUCGUGAGACAGUUCGGUCCCUAUCUGCCGUGGGCGCUGGAGAAUUGAGGGGGGCUGCUCCUAGUACGAGAGGACCGGAGUGGACGCAUCACUGGUGUUCGGGUUGUCAUGCCAAUGGCACUGCCCGGUAGCUAAAUGCGGAAGAGAUAAGUGCUGAAAGCAUCUAAGCACGAAACUUGCCCCGAGAUGAGUUCUCCCUGACUCCUUGAGAGUCCUGAAGGAACGUUGAAGACGACGACGUUGAUAGGCCGGGUGUGUAAGCGCAGCGAUGCGUUGAGCUAACCGGUACUAAUGAACCGUGAGGCUUAACCU
rnacentral:rRNA from 1 species